GGCUUGUCAGCUCAGUUGGUUAGAGUGUGGUGCUGAUAAUGCCAAGGUUGCAGGUUCAAUCCCUGUAUAGGACG